rnacentral:rRNA from 1 species
GAUGAACGCUGGCGGUAUGCUUAACACAUGCAAGUCGAACGGACUCUUCGGAGUUAUUGGCGGACGGCUGUGGAACGCGUGAGAAUCUGACUUUGGGUUCGGGACAACUACUGGAAACGGUGGCUAAUACCAGAUGUGCCCAAAGGUAAAAGAGAAUUUGCCUGAAGAUGAGCUCGCGUAUGAUUAGCUAUUUGGUGAGGUAAAGGCUCACCAAGGCAGCGAUAAGUAGCAUGUCUGAGAGGAUGACCAGCCAAACUGGGACUGAGACACGGCCCAGACGCAUCCGGGGGGAAGGAGUGGGGAAUGAUCCGGAAUGGGCGAGAGACUGACGGAGCACUACCGCGUGAGGGAAGAAGGUUCUUGGGUUGUACAACUGUUUUCUUAGGGAAGCACAAAAUGACGGUACCUAAUGAAUAAGCAUCGGCUAACUACGUG